UUNANNCCGCACUACGCUNUNNGNNAGGAAAGGGGGGGAUNUUCGGNCCUCUCGNNCAAGGGGGCGGCCNAUGGCANANUAGUUUAGUUGGUGGGGUAAAGGCCUACCAAGGCGACGAUCUGUANCUGGUCUGAGAGGACGACCAGCCACACUGGGNCUNAGACGCGGCCCAGACUCCUACGGGAGGCAGCAGUGGGGAAUUUUGGACAAUGGGCGAAAGCCUGAUCCAGCAAUGCCGCGUGUGAAGAAGGCCUUCGGGUUGUAAAGCACUUUUGUCCGGAAAGAAAACUUCUGCCCUAAUACGGCGGGAGGAUGACGGUACCGGAAGAAUAAGCACCGGCUAACUACGUGCCAGCAGCCGCGGUAAUACGUAGGGUGCAAGCGUUAAUCGGAAUUACUGGGCGUAAAGAGUGCGUAGGCGGUUCGUUAUGUCUGCUGUGAAAGCCCCGGGCUUAACCCGGGAAUGGCAGUGGAAACUG
rnacentral:rRNA from 1 species